rnacentral:rRNA from 1 species
UACAGAGGGUGCGAGCGUUAAUCGGAAUUACUGGGCGUAAAGCGUGCGUAGACGGCUAUCUAAGUCGGGUGUGAAAGCCCCGGGCUCAACCUGGGAAUUGCAUUCGAGACUGAAUAGCUAGGGUACGGUAGAGGGAAGCGGAAUUUCCGGUGUAGCGGUGAAAUGCGUAGAUAUCGGAAGGAACAUCAGUGGCGAAAGCGGCUUCCUGGACCAGUACCGACGUCAGGCACGAAAGCGUGGGGAGCAAA